ACGAACGCUGGCGGCGUGCUUCACGCAUGCAAGUCGAACGGUGAAGCGCCUUCCUUUUUGGUGGGUGUGGAUGAGUGGCGAACGGGUGAGUAACACGUGAGUAACCUGCCCCCUUCUUCUGGAUAACCGCAUGAAAGUGUGGCUAAUACGGGAUAUUCUGGGUCUGUCGCAUGAUGGGUCUGGGAAAGAUAUUGUUUCGGUGGGGGAUGGGCUCGCGGCCUAUCAGCUUGUUGGUGGGGUGAUGGCCUACCAAGGCGGUGACGGGUAGCCGGCCUGAGAGGGUGGACGGUCACACUGGGACUGAGACACGGCCCAGACUCCUACGGGAGGCAGCAGUGGGGAAUAUUGCACAAUGGGCGCAAGCCUGAUGCAGCGACGCCGCGUGAGGGAUGGAGGCCUUCGGGUUGUGAACCUCUUUCGCCAGUGAAGCAGGCCUGCCUCGUUUGUGGGUGGGUUGACGGUAGCUGGAUAAGAAGCGCCGGCUAACUACGUG
rnacentral:rRNA from 1 species